GAUGAACGCUGGCGGCGUGCCUAAUACAUGCAAGUCGAGCGAACAGACGAGGAGCUUGCUCCUCUUACGUUAGCGCCGGACGGAUGAGUAACCCGUGGAUAAACUACCUAUAAGCCUGGGAUAACUUCGGGAAACCGGAGCUAAUACCGGAUAAUAUAUUGAACAGAAUGGUUCAAUAGUAAAAGACGGUUUUGCAAUCACUUAUAGAUGGAUCCGCGCCGCCUUAGCUAGUUGGUAAUGUAACGGCUUACCAAGGCAACGAUGCUGAGCCGACCUAAGAGGGUGGUCCGCCACACUGUAACUGAGACACGGUCCCGACUCCUACGGGAGGCAGCAGUAGGGAAUCUUCCGCAAGGGGCGAAUGCCUGACGUUGCAACGCCGCGUGAGUGAUGAAGGUCUUCCGAUCGUAAAACUCUGUUAUUAGUGAUGAACAAAUGUUUAAGUAACUAUGCACGUCUUGACGGUACCUAAUCAGAAAGCCACGGCUAACUACGUG
rnacentral:rRNA from 1 species